rnacentral:tRNA from 1 species
GAGGGUAUAGCUCAGUGGUAGAGCACAUGCUGAGCAUGCACAAGGUCAUGGGUUCAAUCCCUAGUACCUCG